UGGGGAAUCUUGCCCAAUGGGCGAAAGCCUGAGGCAGCAACGCCGCGUGCGGGAUGAAGGCCCUUGGGUUGUAAACCGCUUUCAGCAGGGACGAAAAUGACGGUACCUGCAGAAGAAGCCCCGGCCAACUACGUGCCAGCAGCCGCGGUAAGACGUAGGGGGCGAGCGUUGUCCGGAUUUAUUGGGCGUAAAGAGCUCGUAGGCGGCUCAACAAGUCAGGUGUGAAACCUCCAGGCUCAACCUGGAGACGCCACCUGAUACUGCUGUGGCUAGAGUCCGGUAGGGGAGCAGGGAAUAUCCGGUGUAGCGGUGAAAUGCUUAGAUAUCGGGUGGAACACCAGUGGCGAAGGCGCUGCUCUGGGCCGGUACUGACGCUGAGGAGCGAAAGCGUGGGUAGCAAACAG
rnacentral:rRNA from 1 species